UGGGGAAUUUUGCACAAUGGGCGCAAGCCUGAUGCAGCGACGCCGCGUGAGGGAUGAAGGCCUUCGGGUUGUAAACCUUUUUCGCUCAUGGUCAAGCCGCAGCUUUGGGUUGUGGUGAGGGUAGUGGGUAAAGAAGCGCCGGCUAACUACGUGCCAGCAGCCGCGGUAAUACGUAGGGCGCGAGCGUUGUCCGGAAUUAUUGGGCGUAAAGGGCUUGUAGGCGGUUGGCCGCGUCUGCCGUGAAAACCUCUGGGUGAACUGGGGGCGUGCGGGGGGUAAGGGUUUACUUGAGUGCGGUAGGGGAGACUGGAAUUCCUGGUGUAGCGGUGGAAUGCGCAGAUAUUAUGGUGAACACCGGUGGCGAAUGCAGGUAUCUGGGCCGUUACUGACGCUGAAGAGCGAAAGCGGGGGGAGCGAACAGG
rnacentral:rRNA from 1 species